GUAAGUGUCAGUCACAUCCACAUGAAUACUAGGAUCCAAGAUUUGCCCAUAGCAUACAACUGCCUCCACUAGCCUGCCUUCUAACCAUAGUGCAUCCUGCUGCCAUCUCUUCUCUAGGUAAACAACACACCCAGUUAUCCAGCUGAAAGAUUAGGCAACCGCCACCUAUUGCUUUAUGGUCCUGUGUUGAUGCUUAUGUCCCAAUUGAAAGUGCUUUGUAU